rnacentral:tRNA from 1 species
ACUACUUUGGCAGAUUUAAUGUAUUAAAUUUAGAAUUUAUUUAUGUAAUUUAUAUUACAAGUAGUA